rnacentral:rRNA from 1 species
CCUACGGGAGACUGCAGUGAGGAAUAUUGGUCAAUGGCCGCAGGGCUGAACCAGCCAAGUCGCGUGAGGGAUGACGGUCCUAUGGAUUGUAAACCUCUUUUGUCAGGGAGCAAAGGGCGCCACGUGUGGCGCUUUGCGAGUACCUGAAGAAAAAGCAUCGGCUAACUCCGUGCCAGCAGCCGCGGUAAUACGGAGGAUGCGAGCGUUAUCCGGAUUUAUUGGGUUUAAAGGGUGCGCAGGCGGAAUGUCAAGUCAGCGGUAAAAUUUCGGGGCUCAACCCCGUCGUGCCGUUGAAACUGGCGUUCUUGAGUGAGCGAGAAGUAUGCGGAAUGCGUGGUGUAGCGGUGAAAUGCAUAGAUAUCACGCAGAACUCCGAUUGCGAAGGCAGCAUACCGGCGCUCAACUGACGCUCAUGCACGAAAGCGUGGGUAUCGAACAGGAUUAGAUACCCCUGUAGUC